rnacentral:rRNA from 1 species
CUACGUGCCAGCAGCCGCGGUAAUACGGAAGGUNCGGGCGUUAUCCGGAUUUAUUGGGUUUAAAGGGAGCGUAGGCCGGAGAUUAAGUGUGUUGUGAAAUGUAGACGCUCAACGUCUGACUUGCAGCGCNUACUGGUUUCCUUGAGUGCGCACAACGUUGGCGGAAUUCGUCGUGUAGCGGUGAAAUGCUUAGAUAUGACGAAGAACUCCGAUUGCGAAGGCAGCUGACGGGAGCGCAACUGACGCUUAAGCUCGAAGGUGCGGGUAUCGAACAGGAUUAGAUACCCUGGUAGUCCGCACAGUAAACGAUGGAUGCCCGCUGUUGGUACCUGGUAUCAGCGGCUAAGCGAAAGCAUUAAGCAUCCCACCUGGGGAGUACGCCGGCAACGGUGAAACUCAAAGGAAUUGACGGGGGCCCGCACAAGCGGAGGAACAUGUGGUUUAAUUCGAUGAUACGCGAGGAACCUUACCCGGGCU